UAAGAUUUAGAGAGAGACCCUUCUCUUUCUUCAUAAUGCAGUUCUUGAUGAUAUUCUCUGUCCGCCUUUUCAUCAAUCCUCUUCUAACAAAAUUUCGAUCAACCUCUUUUUUUACCAACAUUCUCUAGGUUCUUUAAACUGAUCCUACAACAACAUUCUACAUUCUCCAGGUUCUUUAAACUCUUCUAAUGAGAUCCUACAAUAGUAUUCGCUAUAGACUUUCAAUCCAUGAUUGUUGAGUUACCUAUGUGGACUGCCACCGGAAGAUGCAUAACAAUUUUUUUUAUCAGAAACCUGACGACAUUCACAAUAUGAUAUGUCCAUUUUCUAGAUUUAGUUGAUUUCUUUGACUCUGUGAUGGCAACCUCCAUCGUCCUAGAACUGCAAACUCAACAAAGCCGCAUACCUCUGUGGGUUGGGCGCUUAUGUUGGGCGCUUAUGUUGGGAAAUCGACUGUCAUGGCUGUGUCGAGGCCAGCUCCCACAACUAUAUCAAACACAAAAUAGAAAUGAUAGAGGAUGAGCACGCUGAAUCCUAAAGCGAAUUUAAGGGACCAAAAGGAAAUUAUGGAACUUUCGCCGAUUGAUGGAAUUCUCUCAGGACAUUUUCAGAGGUGAGUUCCAACAAAUGGAAACUGACAAUCUCGAGCUAGAGCCAUCGAGGCAUCACGGGUGGAUUUGCCUCCAAGACCGGCUAUAAAUCAGUACUAUAGUCCUUGGGCGGAUAUGGGAUACACGAACGGCGAUAACAUCAGCACUACAGUCCUUGGGCGGAUAUGGGAUAUACGAAGAGGUUCCUUGCACUGUGUGCAUGUGCAACAUCAGUGCUCCAAAUGGAGACAGGACGGUACUCCCGUGCUCCCACAUGAAUAAUGGGAGUUGUAUCUUCAGGUGGUUGAAGUUGAGAAAUUUAU
rnacentral:lncRNA from 1 species